rnacentral:rRNA from 1 species
AGCGAACGCUGGCGGCAGGCUUAACACAUGCAAGUCGAGCGGGCAUCUUCGGAUGUCAGCGGCAGACGGGUGAGUAACACGUGGGAACGUACCCUUCGGUUCGGAACAACUCUGGGAAACUGGAGCUAAUACCGGAUACGCCCUUAUGGGGAAAGGUUUACUGCCGAAGGAUCGGCCCGCGUCUGAUUAGCUAGUUGGUGGGGUAACGGCCUACCAAGGCGACGAUCAGUAGCUGGUCUGAGAGGAUGAUCAGCCGCACUGGGACUGAGACACGGCCCAGACUCCUACGGGAGGCAGCAGUGGGGAAUAUUGGACAAUGGGCGCAAGCCUGAUCCAGCCAUGCCGCGUGAGUGAUGAAGGCCUUAGGGUUGUAAAGCUCUUUUGUCCGGGACGAUAAUGACGGUACCGGAAGAAUAAGCCCCGGCUAACUUCGUG